rnacentral:rRNA from 1 species
AAGAGAGAGACAUGCGCGCAUAUCAAUAAGCGGAGGAAAAGAAACUAACAAGGAUUCCCUUAGUAACGGCGAGUGAAGCGGGAAGAGCUCAAAUUUGAAAUCUUCAAGGUUUUACCUUGACGAAUUGUAGUUUAAAGAAGUGUUUUCUGCUGAAGUUUUGGUAAAAGUUCUUUGGAAUAGGACAUCAUAGAGGGUGAGAAUCCCGUAUUUGACCAUUAUUUUCAGCUUUGUGAUACACUUUCAAAGAGUCGGAUUGUUUGGGAAUGCAGUCCAAAAUGGGUGGUAAAUUUCAUCUAAAGCUAAAUAUUGGCGAGAGACCGAUAGCGAACAAGUACCGUGAGGGAAAGAUGAAAAGAACUUUGAAAAGAGAGUUAAACAGUACGUGAAAUUGUCAAAAGGGAAGCGUUUGACACCAGUGUUGUUUUCUCGAAAAUCAAUUAAAAAUGGCUCGAUUUUGUAUUGUUGAGACCUUAAAAGCUCACUGUACAUUUUUCGUGUCUUUUGUAAUGCACUUUUCGGUUAACAAGUCAACAUCAGUUUCUUUUGUUGUAAAAGAGGUAUUCGGAAGGUGGCUUUCUUUUCGGAGAAAGUGUUUAUAGCCUUUGGCCUCUGCAAUCGGAGAGACUGAGGUCUGCAGCGUAGACUCUUCGGGGUUAGAUACAUUUGUGCUAAGUUAUAGCUUUUUAUAGACAACUUGUUGACUAUAAUUAGUCUUGUAGCUUACUCGCUUAUGCUAUUUUACCUACGCUUAGGAUGUUGAGUCGUAGAGCACGCAG